CUUGCAAAGUUUGCAAAUUUUGUAUAUCUUUGUAUUGCAUGCGAAAAUUGCAAUACAAAAGUAUACAAAAUUUGCAAACUUUGGAAGGCUAU
rnacentral:miRNA from 1 species